CAGUCGCCGCGGGAAUACGAAGGGUGCAAGCGUUAGUCGGAAUUACUGGGCGUAAAGCGUGCGUAGGCGGUGAGUUAAGUCUGCUGUGAAAUCCCCGGGCUCAACCUGGGAAUGGCAGUGGAUACUGGCUCGCUAGAGUGUGUCAGAGGAUGGUGGAAUUCCCGGUGUAGCGGUGAAAUGCGUAGAGAUCGGGAGGAACAUCAGUGGCGAAGGCGGCCAUCUGGGACAACACUGACGCUGAGGCACGAAAGCGUGGGGAGCAAACAGGAUUAGAUACCCGCGUAGUCCCUGUCUCUUAUAC
rnacentral:rRNA from 1 species